rnacentral:lncRNA from 1 species
GUAAAGAGCUUUGGAGGAGGCUCACAGACUGAAGAGAAAAUUUACUACAGAGUGUGUCUCACCAUGUACAGGGCGUACGCUUGAACCCAGCUGACUGGAGGUGCAGUAUCAAUUGGGGAGAACUUCAAAGCAGAAGAGGGAAGAUGUACAAGCUAUGUUCCUGAGAGAUGGAUCUUGAGAAGAAGAGGACCAUAAUGUCUCAAGGGUCAGAACCUGAAAACUGUCUCAACAAAGAAGAAAUGUUACUAAUUACAAAGAAUAUUUUUGUGGAUACUUAUGGAUCUAUAACUGACAUUUAAGGUAUGAUAACAUCUAAAAGAAAUAUAGAGGACAGCCUGGAAAAGG